rnacentral:lncRNA from 1 species
CACCCCUCCCCGCACGCCCCCAGGGGUGGCGGUGAUGCAGCUGGGGACCUGGGAAGAUCGGGACCGCGAAGGCGGCGACGCUGUUCCCAACUUGCCAAGAGGCGCUGGACUCGAUUGGCGCGCAGAUCCUCCCCGCGGGCUGGGGGCAAGGCGGGCGCCGGGCUGGAGAUGGUCAGGAUGGCUUUGCUCCUGCUGCCACCCCUGUGGCUUCUGCCUCUCACUGGGGGAUCCCAGAGGGCUGAGCCCAUGUUCACUGCGGUCACCAACUCAGUUCUGCCCCCCGACUAUGACAGCAACCCCACCCAGCUCAACUACGGAGUGGCAGUGACGGAUGUGGACCACGAUGGGGACUUCGAGAUCGUCGUGGCAGGGUA